AUAUCAUAAAGCUAUCACCUUUGAGUGUCAAUGGAGGGGUCCGAUGUUUCUUCCUGGAAGUGUGGAUUUUUAUGUGACUCCGAUGAAGUUUAAGGUUCCGAUUUCUGAGACUGUUCAUAGAAAAUGUUGGAUAAACCACAAGAAAUCUGAAAUGUUGAUUGUUUUUUUAAGAUGGACUGGAAAUCCAUAAUUCUUUGAAGCACAUCCCCUACCAUUCCUACUAAUAUUGCAAUCUCCUGUAGCAUAAAACCAACAAAUGAACAUGAUUUUUAUUGUUGGCAGUAUUUCAGCAGAAACCACAGAAACAUUAAGCUCAGCUCCCUCUCUCGCUCUCUCUCUAUUCUUUGGAAUACCAUUCGAACACACAUCACAGAACACUGCCAUGGAUGUGUGCAUGUAUCCGCUGUACUACGAUUAUCUCUAGAAUAGAACCAACAAAGCUGCAGCAGUAUGGCCGUGGGAGAGGGGGAUUAACCGCAAAACAGAUGUAGGCGCUCUCUCUAAUAGAGUAAUUCUUUAUCUCGAGAGUCUAACCCAAAAGAUUCUUCUUCGGUCUGGCAGGCACAACAGAAGAGACAGGGACAGGGCACGAAAGAACAGAGCCAGGCAUAGACAAGACAUGAAAGAACAGAGCAAAGAGGAGACAGUGAACACGGGGAACAGAGCGAACAAGAGACAGUGAACACGGGGAACAGAGCAAAGUAGAGACAGGGAGAGCCAAAACAGAAAACGAGACUAGAGCCAGGCUUCGCAGCUGCAGUCUAGCGCUGACGUUGACGUUGACGUCAGCAGCGGAGACAACUACAGAGAGCGAGCAGCAGCAAGCAGCAAGCAACCGGCAAAAUAUUUGCAACGAACCGGCAAUAGACAGAGACAGAGCAAGAGCAAGCGACAAGCGACAAGCGGCACGCGGCAAGAGGGAGUCAGAGGGAGAGAGACCUGCCUGGCAACUCUACGACAUCUGCUUUUGUCUAGCCAAAAGCAAAACCUGUCCCUGUCCCACUCUACCGCCCCUCCCCUCCCUCCAUGCAGUUCGCCCUAACUCCACUGGAGUUGCAAUGCAAGAGAGCGGCAAACGAUAACAGUAAAAAGCUUGCCAAAGUCGUCUACAUUGAGAGAGCAGCAGCAGGCGCAGUCUACGCUGACUGCAGCAGAGGGAGCGACACCAACUGCAGCAGCAGCAGCAGCAGCGACAGCGAUGCCAGACAACGGACUCGACUCUCCUCGACUUCAGCUCCAAAGGCGGGCACGUUCGGCAAUUAGUUGAACUUCGUUGCUCGGGCCGACGACACGAGAAAAUCGACCCCCCCAAAUAAAAAACAACAACAACAACACGAGACAAAAGAGAAAUAACAAAAACUCCAACGGGCGCGCAAAAAAAAAAAUUAAAUAUAUAUCCAAACGAGAGAGUAAGAGCGAGAUAGAGUCAUAGAUCACAACAAUUUGUUAUAAAAUAUUUGCAAAAAAAAAAGAGCGAAAGAGAGAGCAGGUGUAAAAGUUUUAUUAAAUCCAAAGAAAACGCAAAUUGUUGUUUGAAGAAAAAGGAGAAAAGCGCUUCCUGUUGAACUUUUUUUUGUCUGUGUGUGUGUUUCUGUUCUGUGCGAGUGUGUGUGCGUGAGUGCUUGUCUGCCAGGCUUGCCACCUUUAACAAAAAAAAAAAAAACAAUAAAAAUCAAACAAAAACAAUUUUUUUGUGUGGCCACUCCCAAAAAAGAAAAACCCGCAAAAAUUAAAAAUAAAGGAAAAAUUAUCAGCAGCAGCAACAACAACAUUCAACAGAGUCUCAAGGCUCUUCAAAAUCCAGUAAAAGUUUAUAUAAAAGGUAAGUUUUUUAUGUUGCAAGCGGCAAAAAAUCAAUAAUUUAAUUACAAAUUGCACAAAAAAAAAGAGGUACGAAUGCGCUGGUAUUAAAGGGGAAUUUUCAUUAUGAAAAAUCAGGGAAAUGCCGUUGGUAAGCACAGAAAAAAGAAAAAAAGAAUAAAUUUGGAAGCACUCAAAAAGGGGUUAAAAUGUUGGUCUCUCCAUUGUGCCUUUCGGGGGACAGAGAGUGAGAGUGAGAGAGAGAGACGAAAGGGAGAACCGACCGCAUUGUCAGAGUGCCCUUUCCCCCUGGCUCCAUGCUCCCCCCUGCGUUUCGCGCUCUCUCAAGUGUCGCAAAAUGCAAUUUCUUAAAUUUCCAUUAAUUUCGCGCUGUCGACUUUUGUGAAAUGUCACUUUGGCGGCGACACAUUCAAAAAACGUUCAGGCGACAAGAAAAUAAAGCGACUUGUCUCUGGGAUAUGUAUGUCCUUCUUUUGCUCUCCUUCGGCUGCUGCCGCUGCUCCAACAGCAAUAACAAUGUUGUCAGCCAAGCAAAUAAUCACAGGUGUGGUGGAGGGGUGGAGCUCCAGCAGAGGAUGUGCCACAGAACGUGUACGAGAAGGAGAGGCAGUGCCAGUGGCAGUGGCAGUGGCAGCCCCCUCGCUGCCUAAGUGACUGAUGUCUCUCCUGUGGUACGCUGCUCCUGUGGAGAGAGGAGGGGCCCAAACAGACAGACAGACAGACAGCAACAGCAGGCCCUUCAGCAUCCACUAACAAGCGCAUGGGUACGAGUUUUCUGUACCCUUCGAAGGGGCAUGCCGAAAGGGAAACUCGGGAGC